GAAACUGGGAUGAAAUACCAUAUGUUCGAGCAUUUUUGCUGCUCAGUCAGGAUAAAACCCUGCAGCAGGUGUGUGCAUGCUUGAUGAGAGGUAAAGAAGAAAAAGAGCUAGACAUACUAGGUGAUUCUUUAAUGCAACCCCCUACUGCCCCAGUUUAGGGGCACUUUUGGGUGGAGCAGAGCCUCCUUCUGUCAGCUCUGAAGGUUCAGAUGUGUUGGUCCUUUCUCCCUUCAGCCCACCUGAAUGUUCUAUUGGAAACCCAUUGUCCCCUAUUCCUUACCCAUCUAGUCCCACACUAUACCCACCACUCCCUGAGGAACUCAGCCCAGCAAGUACUACUUGUAGUGGAGCCUCCUAUCAACCUCCAAAGGGAAACCUUUGUCCACUUAGAGAGGUGACAAAUGGGGAAGAAGUCACUGUGAGAGUACAUGUUCCCUUUUCUAUGUCUGAUUUGGCUGUAUAUAAAGAGGAGUUUGGUCAUUUCUCUGAAGACCCGGGAAAAUUCAUAGAUAAGUUUGAGAAAUUAACUCUGACGUAUAGUUUAACUUGGCAGGAUCUGCAUGUUUUAUUGUCUCUGUGUUGUACAGUGGAAGAGAAACAACACAUUUUGGGGGCAGCUAGGACCCAUGCACACGAGGUAUUGGCUUGCAACCCAAACCAUGAUAUAUAUCAGGCAGGAGGUAUAGCAGUUCCAGAUCAAGAUCCAGAGUAGAACUAUCAAAGGGACAGUGAGGACUUGGGGAGGAGAGGUUAUAUGGUCACUCUUUGGUUGGAAGGGAUGAGAAAUGUAUGAAAAAUCCUGUUAACUAUGGGAAGGUUAAGGAAGUUUCUCAGGGCAAAGAGGAAAAUCUAGUUUUGUUUCAAGGGCAUUUAGUUGAGGCAAUCCUGUGCUUUGUGGGAUUACUCACAGAUCCUGUGCUCUGUAUCUGCCCCUUUAACAUGCUGGUCCAAUUGUCUGGAACACUGUCUCCUGCCUACCUGCCAGGUGAAAUUCAUCUUAGCUUCUGGGAUUGGCUCCUACUCAACAUGCAAGCACUAAUCCUCUAACAUGCAGAGACAGAGUCUCACUCUGUUGCCAGGCUGGAGUGCAAUGAUGCCAUCUCGACUCGCCGCAACCUCCACCUCCCGGGUUCCAGUGAUUUUCCUGCAUCAGCCUCCCAAGUAGCUGGGACUACAGGCACGUGCCACCACGCCCAGCUAAUUUUUGUAUUUUUAGUGGGGACAGAGUUUCACCAUGUUGGCCAAGAUGGUCUUGAUCUCUUGACCUUGUGAUCCACCCACCUCAGCUUCCCAAAGUGCUGGGAUUACAGGCAUGAGCCACUGCGCCCAGCCCAUACAUAAGAAUUUUAAGUCCAGCAUGCUACCAUAAUAUAAAAAACAUCUAGGAAAGAGAAUCAGAUAUUUUCGUUGAGUGCUUACAAUGUAUGAAUCCUUUAGCAUCAUUAUCUCAUUUAAUUUGCAAGCAAUUUUUAAGAUAGGCAUCAUGGAACACCUACAACAUGCAAAGCAGUUUUCAUUCAUGACUUCAUUUAAUCUUCCCAAUGAAUUUAUGAAGAAAGUAUUAUUUUGGCAAAUACACACAUGACAACACUAAAACUCAAAUUAGAGAAUUUUCUAAAGAUCAAACAAGUUUAAAGUGCCAAAUUUAGGAUUCCAACUAUUUCUCUGUGUCAGGCCUUUGAGCCCAAGCUAAGCCAUCAUAUCCCCUGUGACCUGCACGUACACAUCCAGAUGGCCAGUUCCUGCCUUAACUGAUGACAUUCCACCACAAAAGAAAUGAAAAUGGCCUGUUCCUGCCUUAACUGAUGACAUUAUCUUGUGAAAUUCCUUCUCCUGGCUCAAAAGCUCCCCUACUGAGCACCUUGUGACCCCCACUCCUGCCUGCCAGAGGACAACCCCCCUUUGACUGUAAUUUUCCUUUACCUACCCAAAUCUUAUAAAAUGGCCCCACCCCUAUCUCCCUUUACUGACUCUCUUUCUGGACUCAGCCCACCUGCACCCAGGUGAUUAAAAGCUUUAUUGCUCACACAAACCCUGUUUGGUGGUCUCUUCACACUGACGUGCAUGAAAUUUGGUGCUGUGACUCAGAUAGGGGGACCUCCCUUGGGAGAUCAAUCCCCUGUCCUCCUGCUCUUUGCUCUGUGAAAAAGAUCCACCUAUGACCUCGGGUCCUCAGAACCACCAGCCCAAGGAACAUCUCACCAAUUUUAAAUCGGGUAAGUGGCCUCUUCUUACUGUCUUCUCCAACCUCUCUCACUAUCCCUCAACCACUUUCUCCUUUCAAUCUUGGUGCCACCCUUCAAUCUCUCCCUUCUCUUAAUUUCAAUUCCUUUUAUUUUCUGUUAGAGACAAAGGAGACACGUUUUAUCUGUGGAUCCAAAACUCCAGCGCUGGUCAUGGACUUGGGAAGGCAGCCUUCCCUUGGUGUUUAAUCAUUGCAGGGAUGCCUCUCUGAUUAUUCACCCAUGUUUCAGAGGUGUCUGACCACGCGGGGACGCCUGCCUUGGUCAUUCACCCUUAGCGGCAAGUACCACUUUUCUGGGGGGUAAGAACCCCCCAACCCCUUCUCCUUCACCCUUAGCAGCAAGUACCACUUUUCUAGGGGACAAGAACCCCCCAACCCCUUCUUUCUGUGUCUCUACCCCUUCUCUGCUUUUCUGGGGGCAAGAACCCCCCAAUCCCUAAUUUCCAUACCCCGACCUCUUAUCUCUGUGCCCCAUCCCUUAUUUCUCUGCUGUGACCUCUAAUCUCUGCGCCCCAACCCCUUAUUUCUGUGCCCUGACUCCUUUCCCGCUUUUCUGGAGGGUAAGAACCCCCGGACCCUUUCCCUCUGUGUCUCUACUCUCUCUUUUCUCUGGGCUUGCCUCCUUCACUAUGGGCAACCUUCCACCCUCCAUUCCUCCUGCUUCUCCCUUAGCCUGUGUUCUCAAGAAAUUAAAACCUCUUCAACUCACACCUGACCUAAAACCUAAAUGCCUUAUUUUCUUCUGCAAUGCCGCUUGACCCCAAACAAACUUGACAGUUGUUCCAAAUAGCCAGAAAAUGGCACUUUCAAUUUUUCCAUCCUACAAGAUCUAAAUAAUUCUUGUCGUAAAAUGUGCAAACAGUCGAAAUGCCUGACAUCCAGGCAUUCUUUUACACAACAGUCCCUCCCUAGUCUCUGUUCCCGAUGCAGCUCAUCCCAAAUCUUCCUUCUUUCCCUCCUGCCUGUCCCCUCAGUCCCAACCUCAAGCGUCACUGAGUCUUUCUAAUCUUCCUUUUCUACAGACCCAUCUGACCUCUCCCCUCAUCGCCAGGCUAAGGUAGGUCCCAAUUCUUCCUCAGCUUCUGCUCCUCCACCCUAUAAUCCUUUUAUCACCUCCCCUCCUCACAUUUGGUCCGGCUUACAGUUUAGUCCCACGACUAGCUCUUCCCCCACCUGCCCAACAAUUUCCUCUUAGAGAGGUGGCUGGAGCUGAAGGCAUAGUCAAAGUACAAGUACCUUUUUCUCUAUCAGACCUCUCUCAGAUCAGUCAGCAUUUAGGCUCUUUCUCAUCAGACCCCAUUAAAUAUAUACAGGAAUUCCAAUAUCUAACUCUGUCCUACAGUUUAACCUGGAGUGACUUAAAUGUCAUCCUGACUUCUACCCUCUCCCCAGAUGAAAGAGAAAGAGUUUUUUCUCUAGCCCAAUCUCACGCUGAUAACCGCUGGCUUCACGAGUCAGACCUCCAGGAAGGCAUUAGAGCAGUUCCCUGAGAGGAUCCCCAAUGGAACUAUCAGGCAAAUUCCCCAGGUAUAGCUAGACAAGAUUACAUGAUUUCCUGCCUAGUUUGA
rnacentral:lncRNA from 10 species